rnacentral:tRNA from 1 species
CAUUAAGUGGCUGAAGUUUUAAGCAUUGGUCUCUUAAACCAAAAUAUAGUAAUUUAAACAUACUCUUAAUGG